CAAUAGCGUAUAUUAAAGUUGUUGCAGUUAAAAAGCUCGUAGUUGGACCUUGGACCUGGACAGGCGGUCCGCCUCACGGCGUGUACUGUCUUGCUGGGUCUUUCCUCUUGGUGAUCUGUUGUUUCGGCAGCAGGGAACCAGGACUUUUACUUUGAAAAAAUUAGAGUGUUCAAAGCAGGCUCGACGCCGGAAAAUAUUAGCAUGGAAUAAUAAAAUAGGACGUGCGGUUCUAUUUUGUUGGUUUUUGGAAUCGCCGUAAUGAUUAAUAGGGACAGUCGGGGGCAUUAGUACUCACAUGCUAGAGGUGAAAUUCUUGGAUUUUGUGAAGACUAACUUCUGCGAAAGCAUUUGCCAAGGAUGUUUUCAUUAA
rnacentral:rRNA from 1 species